AGUGAACGCUGGCGGCAGGCCUAACACAUGCAAGUCGAGCGGCAGCGCGUCCGACCACCCUCGGGUGGUCGGAUGGCGGCGAGCGGCGGACGGGUGAGGAAUGCAUCGGAAUCUGCCUCGUUGUGGGGGAUAACGUAGGGAAACUUACGCUAAUACCGCAUACGACCUACGGGUGAAAGUGGGGGACCUUCGGGCCUCACGCGAUGAGAUGAGCCGAUGCCGGAUUAGCUAGUUGGCGGGGUAAAGGCCCACCAAGGCGACGAUCCGUAGCUGGUCUGAGAGGAUGAUCAGCCACACUGGAACUGAGACACGGUCCAGACUCCUACGGGAGGCAGCAGUGGGGAAUAUUGGACAAUGGGGGCAACCCUGAUCCAGCCAUGCCGC
rnacentral:rRNA from 1 species